AGAAGAAGGCGUCUCUGCAUUACGGAGACCUCGCUGUUUUUGGGCAGGGUGGAUCGCUACGAGCAUUUGUUCCACCGCUAGAGGAGGGACAGGACGACUCUCUAUCAGUGACAAAGACAUGAUGGACAGAUAUCCAGGCAGCUCUUCCUCUAAAGCCUGCGGUAUGAUUAGUGCUGACUGCCAUGAAAAGCUGUAUCAGAUCGUGAGAAGGGUUCUCCUGUAUCCAAGAGCAGACUUGCUCAUUGGAUAACCGAGGUCAUCACGAGCUCUUAUGCCUCUGCCCAUAAAGUCCUCCCCAAUCCAGUGAAAUGUCAGUCCACACGUUCAGUGGCAACAUCAUGGGCGGCUUUACGGGGAGUUCAGCUCACAGACAUUUGCGCAGCGGCAACUUGGAACUCACCUUCCACGUUUUCACGUUUCUAUAGGCUUAAUGUUGUUUCUGCCCCCAACAGCUGCUCAACAGCGGUAUUGGUUGAAGGAGCACGCAUAUGAGAGAACGUCAUUUUGGUUUCAUUGGAAUUGAGAAUCAGAAUAAAAUGAAUUAAGCAUCUCAUAUGUUUGUAUGUUGUUCUUUUUUUCUUUUUUUUUAAACAAACUUGAAUUAUAGUCGUUUCACUUCUGCACAGAGUCACAUUUUCUUAUUGGUUACGGCACAGUUAUGCCAAUGCAUGCUGACAAGAUCCUCAUGACAUAUUUUAUAUUCAUCUUCCA